rnacentral:snoRNA from 1 species
CCCAGAUGUAGACAACUGCCUAGUUUGUCUUGUACCUAGGCAAGUGUUGCACUGCUGGGAGAAAAGCAGCAAGUAGCUGGCAUACAUU